UCUCUCCCAUGUCAAUUUCUCAACUCACUUUCUCUUUCUCGAAUCCUCUCUUAUUUUCUCCGCCUCCCUCCCUCGGAAGAAAACCUAGCUCACCAAAAUCUCUUUUCUCUUUCACCCUCUCUGUGCAAAAACUAGUAGAUCGAUUAGAUCUCUGUACAAAAACCCUAAAGUUUCUAUUGAUGAUGUUUUUGAGUCUCAAAGAAGCUAAAAAACCAGCACCACAGAAAUUCCUUCCCUUGUUUUUAUUCAGAUCAAUUAGCAUGCUAGCAAACCCAUCUCUUGAUUCUUCAUCCAAAAUCCCUCAAGAAGAUCUCAAACCUGCUGGAAAUUGAUUUACGUCAGUACUUAUUUUCAAUUUAUUUUCGAUUGAAUCCAUGUUUUUGUGUUUUCAUUUUUAGGGGUUUCCUUGAGAUCUCUAACAAGUUCUAAAUAAAUAAUGAUUACUGUUAAUUUUUUCGUUUUAGAGUUUGAGAAUCCUGAGAUUUUCUUUGAUUUCUUCGAUCUAUUCAGAAUUAGCUUUUCAUGUUUUUGUUAGGGUUUUCAGUUUUUACUUCCCAUUCUUCAAUCUGGGAAGAUUUAGAUUCUAGGAUUUCAAUCCUUGAGAUAGAUUGAUUCAACUCCUGUGUUACAUAAGUACAUGAUUUUUGCUUCCUCAUGCUAAUAAUCGUUAGCUAAGUUUCCAUUUCAAAAAGCUUGUUGAUAUUUAUCAUUCAUAUCACUUCUUUAAUAGUUUUCCUGAUAGAUUUUUCUGAAAAUUUUCACAAGAGACAAACCCUAAAUUGAUUUGAAGAAUCCCUGUUAGAGUUGUUGAAAAUUCAGCCACAUCGCAAAUUACAGGUAGGAGUAACGAACAUUCUCUUCCUCUAGCUUGUACAAUCUUGAGUGUUGUUUGUUCCUUUGAUUUAACACUCUGGCAGAUUUUGACUUCCAACUUGAAAGCCUCGCCCAAGGUUUCAAGUCUCUGUCCAAGGCAAAGACAAAUGAAUCUCAUCAUCGAUGCAUUUGGGGAAAAGUUAUCCAUCCUCAUAGUAACAGUCGUGUUCGUGCUAAAUUCACUUCCAACUUACCACCUAAAUCCAUGGUAAGAGAUAAACAAACUUCAAUCUGCUUUUGUAUAUGAAGUAUUUUUUAAUAGAGUUCAGAAAUUAUAAUUUGAAUUGGGUUGCUAAUAGAAGUUUGAAGUCGCAAGGUUUGGUUGAGAAAAUUUGCUUCCAAAGGUAAUUUUUGUGUGGAUUUGUCAUCUUUUUAGUUAAAUUCUUGGGUUCUAUUUUCGUUGUUUGUGGGAUGUAAGUGAGUAAUUUGAAGGACCUGUCUAACUGUUGUUGUAGCCAGUUUAACUAUUGUUCUGAUUUCGGUUUGGUGUUCCAUUGUUGUGUCAUAGGAAGUAGCUGAUAAGAAAUUCUUAGAUCAGGAUUAAUCCUCGGGUGAUGCUUUGGAUGAGUCAACAAGUUAAUCCUCGGGUGAUGCUUUGGAUGAGUCCACAAGCAAAGUUUGAAUGAUGCGAAGGUUGCGUCAUCCAAAUAUUUUUUAUUUCCUGGGUACCAUAACUCUCCCUUCAAACCUGGCUAUUGUCAUUGAGUAUCUCCCAAUGCUGUGUGGUGUGGACUGAGUUUUCCGUUGUAAAUGCAAGUGACAGAGGUCAUGGAAUCCAAGUCUCCUGAAGAUAUUUACAAGCUAGCUACCCGGACUCGAUGAUCUGUUGGUUCUAGAUAUAGUGCAUAUGCGAUCUAUCUAAAGUUCAAUGAGUACCCUUUGUCACUUCGAAUUGCAAACUCAUUCGCAGUAUGUGAAGGAUAUGGUUAAAUCCUGGAGAUGGAAGUAACUAAUGGCUGGUUUAAGUUGCAAUCCUAGCACCAGUAAUUCUAAUGGUCAGAGGCUGAAUGAUGGUGGUCCCUCAAUUUCGAAAUUUGAGCAAUGAACACGGGUUAACUUAGAUGCAUAAUUACAAAGUGGCAUGAACCCAAUAUUCUAUUGGACAGUUUGGGCUUUCUUUUUCAAUUGCAAGUCUGCGAUCAUAAAAGCGUUUUGUCAUUUCCUCUUCUUACUACAAAGAAUACAGUAGACUGUUAAGCGCUUUAUCUCCUUAUUCAGCAUGUCUCAAGGAGCUCAAGGAGAACAGAUGAAUAGUCUCGAGAGCUGAGGUCUCUGAGCUCUUGGAAUCGGCAGUAAGUGCAGCUAAUGAGUCUUGAGUUGGAGGUGAUAUGGUUCAUUUUAUUAAUUAUCGUUUUAUUUUCUCAAAAUAAAUAUGGAUGCCCUCCGCCGCCAGCGAGCAACCUGAAUUGCAGACUAAGGAGGAACAAACUACAAUGGUGUUGCAGGUUCAUGAUGAUGACCUGUAUUGCAGGCCUGUAAACGGGAAAUAAUCCAGGUUCAUGAUGAUGACCUGUAUGCCUGUAAACUGGAAGCCCGGGUCCAUGAAAUUGAUCUUUUUAAAUUGUAAUUUACAGAAUUGUCACGGAUUUAAAUGUAACAACAAGUGUAAAAAACACGUGUCAUCAUCUUACUUUUGUUAUAAAGAGAGUAACAAUUUUAAA